rnacentral:rRNA from 1 species
GUCCACGCUGUAACGAUGAUCACUAGAUGUUGGUUCGGUUCGCCGGAUCAGUGUCGAAGCUAACGCGUUAAGUGAUCCGCCUGGGAAGUACGGUCGCAAGAUUAAACUCAAAGAAAUUGACGGGGCCCGCACAAGCGGUGGAACAUGUGGUUUAAUUCGACACUACGCGAGAAACCUUACCUAGGCUUGACAUGUAACUGCUACCGGUGGAAACAUCGGGUUCUAUAGUAAUAUAGACGGUUACACAGGUGCUGCAUGGCUGUCGU